GAUGAACGCUGGCGGCGUGCCUAAUACAUGCAAGUCGAGCGAACAGACGAGGAGCUUGCUCCUCUGACGUUAGCGGCGGACGGGUGAGUAACACGUGGAUAACCUACCUAUAAGACUUGGAUAACUUCGGGAAACCGGAGCUAAUACCGGAUAAUAUAUUGAACCGCAUGGUUCAAUAGUUAAAGACGGUUUUGCUGUCACUUAUAGAUGGAUCCGCGCCGCAUUAGCUAGUUGGUAAGGUAACGGCUUACCAAGGCAACGAUGCGUAGCCGACCUGAGAGGGUGAUCGGCCACACGGGAACUGAGACACGGUCCAGACUCCUACGGGAGGCAGCAGUAGGGAAUCGGCCGCAAUGGGCGAAAGCCUGACGGAGCAACGGCGCGUGAGUGAUGAAGGUCUUCGGAUCGUAAAACUCUGUUACUAGGGAAGAACAAAUGUGUAAGUAACUAUGCACGUCUUGACGGUACCUAAUCAGAAAGCCACGGCUAACUACGUG
rnacentral:rRNA from 1 species